GCUACCAGAGAACGCUCUCAGCCGGCCUUCACAGCCCGCGAACAGAAGUACCAAAGACUGCUAUACUAGAAAGGAUCAAUUCGAAGAAAUCUUCAAGAUCCUAUCAACUAGGCCAUCAACUAUCUCGAGUCUGGUCAACAGGCGCCGGCCCAAGAAUUGGCUGCAUUGCUGAUUACCCUGCUGAACUAAGAUGGCAAGCCUUGGAACUAACUAAUGUUUCACCUAAACCUUCUCCAUCAUCAACUCCUAGACCUUUAGACGCUCUUUGUUCGCCUACUUGUUCUUCCCCAGUUUUCAACAAUGUACUUGUCAAGUCUUCUUGAAUUCGAGUCUUUGUUUUCUUAAAUUCCAUGUUCCUGCUGCAAUAUUACUCUAGCAAAUGUAAAUGCCUUUGUUCUUCAGUUAUUUGUACUUCCUAA
rnacentral:misc_RNA from 1 species